GGAGUUUGGUCCGUGUCUCAGUACCAAUGUGGGGGACCUUCCUCUCAGAACCCCUACUGAUCGUCGGCCAGGUGGGCCGUUACCCCGCCUGCUGCCUAAUCAGACGCAUCCCCAUCCGUCAGCGAUGAAUCUUUGUUCCUCGUUAGAUGCCCGCUAAGGAAAACAUAGGGUAUUAAUCCGACUUUCGCCGGGCGUAUCCCCU
rnacentral:rRNA from 1 species